rnacentral:rRNA from 1 species
GACGAACGCUGGCGGCGUGCUUAACACAUGCAAGUCGAACGGAAAGGCCCUGCUUUUGUGGGGUGCUCGAGUGGCGAACGGGUGAGUAACACGUGAGUAACCUGCCCUUGACUUUGGGAUAACUUCAGGAAACUGGGGCUAAUACCGGAUAGGAGCUCCUGCUGCACGGUGGGGGUUGGAAAGUUUCGGCGGUUGGGGAUGGACUCGCGGCUUAUCAGCUUGUUGGUGGGGUAGUGGCUUACCAAGGCUUUGACGGGUAGCCGGCCUGAGGGGGUGACCGGCCACAUUGGGACUGAGAUACGGCCCAGACUCCUACGGGAGGCAGCAGUGGGGAAUAUUGCACAAUGGGCGGAAGCCUGAUGCAGCAACGCCGCGUGCGGGAUGACGGCCUUCGGGUUGUAAACCGCUUUCGCCUGUGACGAAGCGUGAGUGACGGUAAUGGGUAAAGAAGCACCGGCUAACUACGUG